CUCUGGGUCUCGCACGCAGCAGCUGCAGACGCUGCCCGGCGCGGUGGGGCUGUGAGCAAAACGGCCCGCCGGUGUGGUUGCCCAGACUGUGCUGGGCCCUCCUAGGUGGAUGGCCCUGCCCCAGCCUAACUUCUGUACCCCAGCAUAACCUCCAAAGUAACAGCCGUGCCCUGGGAGCCUGUUCAACACUGAACAUAUCCCACAAUAACACUGUUCCAGCGUCGCUGGUAAAAAGCAGAAAUGGCUUCGCUGGAGGCAUCGACAAAUCUAAUGCAGUAACCUCAUUUUACAGAAGAGAACUCUAAGAGGAUAACUAACUUGGCCAAGAUCACAUGAUGUUUCUGGAUGAGAUUAGCAUUCAAAUUCGUGGACUCAUUAAAGUAGAUGGCUCUCUCCAAUAUGGGUGGGCAUCAUCCAAUCUGUUGAAGGCGUGAAGAGAACAAGAGAAGGAGGAAGGAAGAAUUCACCUUUUUUCUUGCUGCCCACCUGCUUGGGCUGGGACAUUGCAUCUCACCUUCUCCAGCCUUUGGAUGAGGAUUUACACCCUGGUUCUCAGGCCUUCAGGCUCUAACUGGAGCUACACUAUCAACUUUCCUGGGCCUCCAGAUUGCAGAUGGUGGAUCACGGUACUUUUUAGCCUCCAUCAUAAUAUGAGAAAAAAGAGGCACAGUGAAGCUAAAUAUAUUGGCUAAAGAUCACAAAGCUAAGUUGAAAUUUUUCAAGAUGAAAAGUUGCUAAAGAAAGAGAAAGGGAAGCGGUUUGCUCCAGUAUUCCUCUUUCCACCUUCCCACUGACUGGGAAGCGGCGGUUAGCAGAGCCACAGUCUUGGAUUAGAGAUAAGAGGGACAUGUUGAGGAAGGUGGAGUCUCCCCCACAGCCCUGGACCAGGCUCCAGUGCCAACAAAAGCCAAGAAGAACCUCUGGAGCAAUCAGUCUUACGGAAUCCCUGUAUUCUAGGAUUUGGCAAGCUGUCCACUGAAACAUUAUUUUUCCCAGCCUUCUUUGCAGAGGUGGGGAAACUGAGGCAAAGGGUGUUUAAAUGGUCUGCCCAAAGUCACACAGCUAAGAAGCAGUGAUGGGAUAUGAAGUCAAACAGUCUUAAAAGCAAGCUAUCCUGUUGCAAAAUAGAAAUUAGUUGAUAACGUCUUCCAGGAGACCUACGGCCAUCCUACUGAUAUGAACCAGAUCAUACCUGCCCUGAUGGGAUGCCAGAGAAAGACUGCUGCAAGGUACGCGCCACUCACAGACCUCUCCAUUUAUCUCACUGAUGCAAAGGACCCUGAGUAGGGAUCCUCUGGAAACAGAACAGAGGGAAGAAGAUACCUUCCCUGAAGCCCAGAUGUUCCAGAAGCCUGCGCCUCAUUCACAAAGUCACCCCAAAAAUGCCCUAGAGUUUGGAGUUUUGAAGAAGCGGGAAGAAGGCCUGAGUAAGGGCCUGGGAACCAAGUUAGAUCCUACUUCAGCAUCAGCACAUGCCAGCGAUGGUGCACACAGGUGGAGAGCGGCCUGCCCGUCUUUUCCAUGGUGCCCACAGACCCAUUUAGGAUGAAAGAUCAGAAAAUUCUCUCCAUGUCACCGCUUCUGAAACAUGUGAAUAUUAAUAUUUGGUGCCUAAAAGGCCAUGGCAAAUUUUCAUUGGUUUUAUCUUAUUCAUGAUUAUAGAGUUGAAAGAAUACAUAUUCCCAUGGGGAUCAAUGAAGACAUUCUCAUUUUGAAUGAAGUAGAAUAUAAGUUGUAAAGAUAUAGAAUUUUCCUGAACUGAACCUUGAACCAAAAAUCCCCUCAAUUAACCUGGAACUAAACACAGUCCCUGAAGAUAACAAGGAGUUUCAGGAUGCCACAGGGCUGUCUGUGCAGUAUGGGGCUUCUUGCUCUAUCUCUGGUAUCUGAGGCAGAUAGGCUACUCAGGCCCCUCUCUGGUCUCAAGGUGGGCUGGCUGAGAUGUCAGUUUCUUCCUCAGUGACAGCUUGGGUACAGUAUGUGUAAACUGAUUGUCAGCUGAGCUGAAGGGACUCUGCCCAUAUUGGAGUGUUCUACAAGAAGAGGUGUCAAACCUAAAGGUCUAAAAUUACUAUGAAAGGAGUAUUGGAAACCACUGGGACAAUUGUGAUCACAACUGGUGGUAGCCUUCUCGUUUGGGUGAGAAAGACAGAAAGGAGGAAGAUGUGUUAGUCAAGGUUCUCUAGAGGGACAAAACUAAUAGGAUAUAUGUAUAUAUGAGAGGGAGUUUAUUAAGGAGAAUUGACUCACUUGAUCACAAGGUAAAGUCCCAAGAUAGGCUGUCUGCAAGUUGAGGAGCAAGGAAGUCAUUGGUGGAUUGUUCUGGGUACCAAAACCUCAAAAGUAGGGAAAUCGACAGUGCAGCCUUCAGUCUGUGGUCAAAGGCUCGAGGGGCCCUGGCAGACCACUGGUGUAAGUCCAAGAGUCCCAGAAGCUGAAGAACUUGGAGUCUGAUGUUUGAGGGCAGGAAGCAUCCAGCACAGGAGAAAGACGGAUGCUGGAAGACUUAGCAAGUCUGUUCUUUCCAAUUUCUUCUGCCUGCUUUUAUUCUAGCCAUGCUGGCAGCUGAUUAGAUGGUGCCCUCCCAAAUUGAGGGUGGCUGUGCCUCUCCCAGUCCACUGACUCAAAUGUUAAUCUCCUUUGGCAACACCCUCACAGACACACCCAGGAACAAUACUUUGCAUCCUUCAUUCCAAUCAAGUUGACACUCAAUAUUAACCAUCACAGAAGGAGAAUUUCAGGCUGAGUCCAAACACUAUGGCCCCAGCCCCAGCUUCCCCUUUCUGGGUUGAAUAACCAGACUGAGCCUAAGAAAAGGAAAAGAGUUGACUUUCUCCCAAAAGGCCUGCAGCGGGUUAGAAAGCAAUGGUUUGGGGACCAUACUGAGUGCCUAGGAUGCUCUGGACCACAAAGCUUGAAGUCAAAUUGUUCAUGCACUUGUUUCAUGAUAGGAAGAGAGAGAGAGAGAGAGAGAGAGAGAGAGAAAUUUCCUUUCCUUGAAGAAUGGCAAAACACGUCUCUUGUUCUGGGGGCUAUAUCUUGAAGGGUAUCUGAUCUCCCCCUCAUGGGAGGAACUAGAAUGCCCUAAGGCAGCCGUGGCUCCUGGAGCUGAGAGAUCUUUCUGACACUUUGUGAGAGCUGCAAGGCUAAGUCUGGAGCCAGAAAAGUCCAUGUGGACAAGUGCAGAGCAAGCAGAUCUGAGACACAUGUGGGAGCAAGCUGGACAUGUCCAAAAGUCAGAGGAAGCAAGAGCAGACAUGCAUGAGCAGGCAGAUGAGGCUGGUGCCCAGGCAGCAGGCUGAGGCUCUGGCUGGGCUUUGGAUGCUCCUGAGAGUCCAGUUAGAGACCAGUGAGCAAACCCACAGUGAACUCUUAUUCCUCACGCAGCAGGACGAGGGAUUAAGCACAAAGCCUUAAAGGUCUGAGUGUCUCUUUAUCCUGACCUCAGGAAAGAGAGGCAAGUAUCAUGUUUCUAAAAGUCUGAGAAGUCUUCACAUGACAGCCUACACCAAAAGAACUCAAAUGCACAUCCACUGCAUACACGCAUGUGUGCACACAUAUACAUGUGUACACAUGCAUGCCCACACACAACCCUCUGGAAGAGGAAGUAAAGAGACUUUAUGUUUUCAGCCCCUCUUGAGGAAACUUAAACUAAGUCUUUCUGUGGGGUUAGUGGUGGAGACAGAGAGGGUCUGGGGUCACCGAGGCCGAGGUGGCUGGACCCAGAGGGUAGAGCUGAGGGGAUCCCCUGAGACUGGGAAGAUGGAGCAGAAGCAGAUGGCAGAUGGCAGCAGGUGAGAGCAGACUGGAUUUCUCCUAAAUCACCAGAUCCAGCCAACCUUUCUUUCCUUAGGGACACCUCUAGAUCCCAUUCCAAAUGAACUCUUUCUCUGACCUUUCACCUCAAUUCAGAAUUUGGGAAAUUUAGCCAUGAUCUUAGGAACACAGAGGCUUGAAACAAUCUUUUCUAACCACCCGUUUGUUCAGACUGUGUAAGUUCUGCUUCUGCAUCCAGUGUCAACACCCAAGAACCAUUUUAAAGGGGAGCCAUCCUUUGAAAUUAAACUUCUUUUAAUAAUAAAGACAGAUUUCAGGGUUGACAUAAAAGAUAGCCACAGUAAAGCCAAUCCUCCAGUGUAUAACAUUUUUCAAAGUUUCCUUCCUCUUCAUUGCUGGUGUUCAUGUACAGUCCAGAGUUAGUCUACAUUAAAUUAUAGAUUGUUUUCAGCAAUAAUGCAAACAUUUGGAAGCCUUCAAACUCUCUGAUAACUAACUUCUACAUUCUCUCUGCUAUUAUUAUAUAGAAAGGGAAAUUUUACCUGAUGCUGUUAAAGUCCUCACGAACAUAGUGAUCCGAAUUGGCUGAAGUGGAAAACUAAAUGUUAGCUGAUUUUCAAAACAAGAUUUCCACUCUGAAUUCCCAUUUUUCACAUGUGAUCAUAUGCCUUGUUGUGAAGUUGAACUAAAAAGAAACUCCAUGCCCACUGGCUUAAUGCUAGAAGAUAAUCUACAGCAUAGUAAUUUCUUAGACUUCACUUUAUUAGCCACUAAACUUGGAAUGAUUAUUUCUAUGUUCAAUUAUUAAGUCUAUAUCUCCAUUUCUUAAAAAGGUCUGAGGCAGCCCCUUUGAAUAUUAAUACGCAUUUAUUUUCACCUCUCAAAUAAAA
rnacentral:lncRNA from 1 species